UACAGAGGUCUCGAGCGUUAGGCGGAAUCACUGGGCUUAAAGCGUGUGUAGGUGGAUGCCUAAGUACCUUGUGAAAUCCCACGGCUUAACCGUGGAACUGCUUGGUAUACUGGGUGUCUUGAGUCACUCAGGGGCGAGCGGAACAAAUGGUGGAGCGGUGAAAUGCGUAGAUAUCAUUUGGAACGCCAAUGGUGAAAACAGCUCGCUGGGGGUGCACUGACACUGGGACACGAAAGCCAGGGGAGCGAACGGG
rnacentral:rRNA from 1 species